rnacentral:rRNA from 1 species
AUGCUGCUCUCCCUCCUCUCCACCAACCUUCUCGUCUUCUUCCCGCCAACUCCCCGACACGACCCCGCCACCGGCAUCUCCUCCGCCUUCUCCAACCUCUCCACGCACGUCGCUGCCAUCACGCGCGAGAUCGGCGGCGCCUCCUCCUCCGGUUCCCGCCUCCCGGGCGGCCUGCCCCCGGAGCUGCUGCUCUUCCUUACCCAGCACGCGCUCUCGCUCGGCCGCGACGCGCAGACGGGGCUCCCCCACAUGCCGACAUCCGCUGCCCUGCCGUUGGUGCCUCUCCUGCAUGCUCCGCGCCCUGCUACCGGCCUCCGGCAUGGGCCUCGAUAA